AUGCCCAGGGAGGAGGGUGCUGCCAAGCUGACGCCACAAGCAGAGGUCGAUGGCGCCAAGAAGAUGUCCAAGGAGGAGGGUGCCGUCAAGCCGCCGCCGACGCCAGCCUCCCACCAGCUGCCAUCCAAGGACGGCGGGGCUGGAAAGAAGGAGACCAACGGCGCCAAGCAGCCGGCCGCUACCAGGGACGACGGCGGCGAGAAGAAGGAAGCCGUCGUUGGCACCGAGCCCAAGGAGAGCACGCUCGGUAAGACGACACGUCAGGUCGCGGAGCAUGUUCACCGCAUGGAGGAGGCCAAGAGGCGCAAGCAAAUUGAGCAUAUGCCGGCGCCGGCGGCGAAGAAGGAAGAAGAACCGGCGCCCAAGGCAGAGGUUGCCAACGGCGAGAAGGCCAAGGCGGCGGUUGACCGGGAGAGCCUAGCGGAGAGGGUGAGCCAGCGCGGCGAGGAAGAGAGGGCCAAGGCUGCUGCCACGGCGACGGCCACAGAAGCGAAAGCGGAGCAGGCGAAGAAGGCGGUGCCGUCGACAUGCACGGCCUGGAAGGAGCGCAUCGCCGGGGAGCUCAAGGGGCUGGCGGACAUGAAGUGGGCGGACAACGCGGUGGAGAUGGCGAGGAGGAACAAGGAGGUGGUCGCCGUCGGCGUCGCCGCCUUCUCCAUCGGCUUCCUCGUCUCCCAGAAGCUCUUCAGGAAGUGA
rnacentral:rRNA from 1 species